CUCUCUGCUUAUCUUUGACACAGGUGAGGGGCUGAUGUAGAAACUGUUAAAAGACUAUACAAUGACUUGUAUAUUCAAUAAUGGCUCAAACUUCAAAGGUCUAUCAUUUUGCCCUGCUCUUCAUUUCUUUCCUCAUAAUGCUUCUCAAAGCAAUCUUGUCUUUCCAGCCUCACAAUCAAGGACAAAUUCCUGAAUGCAACAUUUGCUUUUCCGUCUUCCCGCUUCACCUCACUCAUCCCUGCAGAAGUACAAGUAUUCCUGGCUUCUUCAAGUCUACGCCUAAGAAUUAAGAGCCUUGGGGAGAAGGGCACUGCAUCGACCACUGCAUCUCAAUCAUUGUGGCAGACGUACCACAGCACUGGGAAGCUGGCCUUGGCAAGAAUCUCAGGCUAUUACUACAGAGUUGGGAAGAAGGUUUAGGAUCAAGAUAGAGGUGACUGACCAAGCCAACAGAUAGUCCUUGAACCAAAAGGAAUUAUGAGAACUCUGCUUAUUUUUGGAAACAUGAAGAAUGAUGAAACCUGUUCAGCAAUGCAUAUUCAUCGGACUGCAGAGGUUUAAUGACAUCAGGGAACCAAACGGAUAAUCCAUAGUACCUGCAAAGACAAAGAAAUCAGCAGAAAUGGAGUAAGACAUCUGACAUCCUGGCCCCAAUAUCUUUCUCAUCAUUCCAGUCUGCUCUGAGAAACUCUCUCUCCUAGUCUGGUGGUACAAACUCCUGGGAUCCAAGCACGGUGAG